rnacentral:rRNA from 1 species
GUCCCAGUUCGGACUGUAGUCUGCAACCCGACUACACGAAGCUGGAAUCGCUAGUAAUCGCGAAUCAGAAUGUCGCGGUGAAUACGUUCCCGGGUCUUGUACACACCGCCCGUCACACCAUGGGAGUCGGGAAUGCCCGAAGCCGGUGGCCCGAUCGAGAGAAGGGAGCCGUCGAAGGCAGGCCGGAUGACUGGGGUGAAGUCGUAACAAGGUAUC